UACGGAGGGUGCGAGCGUUGUCCGGAAUCAUUGGGCGUAAAGCGCGCGCAGGUGGUUUCUUAAGUCUGAUGUGAAAGCCCCACGGCUCAACCGUGGAGGGUCAUUGGAAACUGGGGAACUUGAGUGCAGGAGAGAAGAGUGGAAUUCCACGUGUAGCGGUGAAAUGCGUAGAUAUCGUAAGGAAGACCAGUGGCGAAGGCGGGUCUCUGGACAGUUCCUGACGCUGAGGCACGAAGGCCAGGGGAGCAAACGGG
rnacentral:rRNA from 1 species